rnacentral:tRNA from 1 species
GGUGGGGUUCCCGAGCGCGGCCAAAGGGAGCAGACUGUAAAUCUGCCGUCAUCGACUUCGAAGGUUCGAAUCCUUCCCCCACCACCA